AAUCAGUUUGGCUGUCCAAUAGCAACGGUAAUUUUCGUUGAAAAGUGAUAAUCAAGAAAAAAUUUCAAUUGACACUCGCGAAACCACGUUGCAGCGAUGUUACACCGGCUGCACAGCCAAAAACCGACGAGAAUCACCGGAGAUGGCCGAACGGCUGUCAGUUGUCGGCGAAAGCCGGCACACGGCGCACGUGCGAGUAAAACAGUGACAGAUAGACGGAAAACGAGGAGGUUAAAGAGAGAACGAGUGAACAAGAAGGUUAGAAACGUGGCGUGCGCAAGUGGGAACGAGAACGAGGAAGGGCGGUGUAGGAAGAGGGGGGGUCUGAGAAUCGACUGGACGUCGCGUCGUCGUGCACAUUCGUCGCGUUUUCACGGUCAGGCUUUAUCGAUCGUAGAAGGAGGGCGAAGGAGCGGAAGGAAAGGAGUUUCGGAGUGCAUCGAAAGGCCGUUGAACCCGGCCUUUCGGUAGUCGCGGCGUCCAUAAUGCAACGAUUGUUGUACCCACCCGCUCCAGCAGCUGCCGAACUCGUAACGCUCUUUUAACGAAUGCACGAAACCUGACCAAGUGAAAUAUUUCUGUCUACAUAAAGCGAAAGGGAGACGAAGCCCGGGGUGGUAGAAAGAAGGAACGCGAGAGAGGCGGUGUACCAUAUACACACUAUACACUAUAUACACGGCUGCGAGCGACAGAGUAAAA